GCAAAAACCAAGCAACGAGGUCGAAGGAAUUGUCCAUAGAGCUCCGAGACAGGAUUGUGUCGAGGCACAGAGGUGACCAAGAACCCGAUGGUCCCUCUGACAGAGCUCCAAAGUUCCUCUGUGGAGAUGGGAGAACCUUCCAGGAGGACAACCAUCUCUGCAGCACUCCACCAAUCAGGCCUUUAUGGUAGAGUGGCCAGACGGAAGCCACUACUCAGUAAAAGGCACAUGACAGCCUGAAUGUAAUUUGUCAAAAGGCACUUAAAGACUCUCAGACCAUGAGAAACAAGAUUACCUGGGGAGGUUAGGGGGGUUAGUAUAGAAUAAUGGAGGUAUAAUAGGUGGGUUAGUAUAGAAUAAUGGAGGUAUAAUAGGGGGGUUAGUAUAGAAUAAUAGAGGUAUAAUAGAAUGGAGGAGGUUUAAUAGGUGGGUUAGUAUUAGAUAAUGGAGGUAUAAUGGGGGGUUAGUAUAGAAUAAUGGAUGCAUAUCAGAAUGUAGGAGGUAUAAUUGGGGGGUUAGUAUAGAAUAAUGGAGGUAUAUCAGAAUGUAGGAGGUAUAACAGAAUGUAGGAGGUAUAAUAGGUGGGUUAGUAUAGAAUAAUGAAGUUAUAAUAGGGGGUUUAGUAUAGAAUAAUGGAGGUAUAAUAGAAUGUGGGAGGUAUAAUAGUUGGGUUAGUAUAGAAUAGUGGAGGUAUAACAGGGGGAUAGUAUAGAAUAAUGGAGGUAUAAUAGAAUGUGGGAGGUAUAAUAGGUGGGUUAGUAUAGAAUAAUGGAGGUAUAACAGGGGGGAUAGUAAAGAAUGUAGGAGGUAUAAUAGGUGGGUUAGUAUAGAAUAAUGAAGGUAUAAUAGGGGGGUUAGUAUAGACUAAUGGAGGUAUAAUAGAAUGUAGGAGGUACAGAAUAGAAUAUAGAAUAAUGAAUGUAUAAUAAGGGGGUUAGUAUAGAAUAAUGGAGGUAUAAUAGGGGGGUUAGUAUAGAAUAAUGAAGGUAUAAUAGUGGGGUUAGUAUAGAAUAAUGGAGGUAUAAUAGAAUGUAGGAGGUACAGAAUAGAAUAUAGAAUAAUGAAGGUAUACUAAGGGGGUUAGUAUAGAAUAAUGGAGGUAUAAUGGAGGGUUAGUAUAGAAUAAUGGAGGUAUAACAGGGGAGUUAGUAUAGAAUACUGGAGGUAUAACAGGGGUUUAGUAUAGAAUAAUGGAGGUAUAACAGGAGGUUAGUAUAAGAUAAUAGAGGUAUAACAGGGGGUUAGUAUAGAAUAAUGGAUGUGUAACAGGGGGUUAGUAUAGAAUAAUGGAGGUAUAACAGGGGUUUAGUAUAGAAUAAUGGAGGUAUAACAGGGCGUUAGUAUAAGAUAAUGGAUGUGUAACAGGGGGUUAGUAUAGACUAAUGGAGGUGUAACAGGGGGUUAGUAUAGACUAAUGGAGGUGUAACAGGGGGUAAGUAUUGAAUAACGGAGGUAUAACAGGGGUUUAGUAUAGAUAAUGGAGGUUUGUAAAGAAACGUUACAGUUGGAGUAAAUGCACCACCUACAUAGAACUAGAUUAGCCAAACAUUCCAAGAUUGAAAAAUGAAGUUGUUACUGAAUAAAAUAAAUAGCAACAAUACAUUUUAUUUGUAUUGCGCUUUUCAAGACACUCAGUGUAUGGGCAUUAGGCAAUAUAUGAAACAAUAAUAGAAGUAGAGACGUGAGAACCAUGGUGUUAUGGACUUUAUUUACACAAUAAAGGCAUCAGCCCCUCUCUCUAAACUGCCUAAAGAGAGGGGCUGCACAGUAAAGAAACUGACCAGCUAUACUGCAACAUACACCAACAUUAAUAAGACAGGGAAUUACAAUCCAAUAUCUACACUGUCCAUCACAACUUUUCAAAAUGGC
rnacentral:lncRNA from 1 species